GUCUUCUUGAUUUUAUAUGAAGUCUGACCUGCCCAGUGAAUAUAUUUUAAACGGCCGCGGUAUAUUAACCGUGCAAAGGUAGCAUAAUCAUUAGUUCUUUAAUAGGGGGCUGGUAUGAAGGGUUUGACGAAAUGUUGACUGUCUCAUUUAAUUUGUAAUUAAAAUUUAAUUUUUCAGUUAAAAAGCUGAAAUUUAAUUAGAAGACGAGAAGACCCUAUAGAGCUUGAUAGUUUUAAUUAUAAUUAGUUGUUGUUAAUAAUUACUGCUUAUAUUUAGAAUUAUUUUGUUGGGGUGACAGAAAUAUAUAAUUAACUUUUUUAUUUAAUAAACAUUAAUUUAUGAAUUAAAGAUCCAAUCUUAUUGAUUAUUAGACUAAGUUACCUUAGGGAUAACAGCGUAAUUUUCCUUCAGAGUUCACAUUUACGGGAAGGCUUGCGACCUCGAUGUUGGAUUAAGAAAAUAAUUAGGUGUAGCAGCUUAAUAUAUAGGUCUGUUCGACCUUUAAAUUCUU
rnacentral:rRNA from 1 species